rnacentral:rRNA from 2 species
ACAGUUCGGUCCCUAUCCGUCGCGGGCGUAGGAAAUUUGAGAGGAUCUGCUCCUAGUACGAGAGGACCAGAGUGGACUUACCGCUGGUGUACCAGUUGUUCUGCCAAGAGCAUCGCUGGGUAGCUAUGUAGGGAAGGGAUAAACGCUGAAAGCAUCUAAGUGUGAAGCCCACCUCAAGAUGAGAUUUCCCAUGAUUUUAUAUCAGUAAGAGCCCUGAGAGAUGAUCAGGUUGAUAGGUUAGAAGUGGAAGUGUGGUGACACAUGUAGCGGACUAAUACUAAUAGCUCGAGGACUUAUCCAA